GGCGGACGGGUGAGUAACGCGUGGGUAACCUACCCAUAAAGCCGGGACAACCCUUGGAAACGAGGGCUAAUACCGGAUAAUCUUAAGUCUUGGCAUCAAGGCAUAAGGAAAGGUGGCCGAUGAAAAUGCUACCGAUUAUGGAUGGACCCGCGUCUGAUUAGCUAGUUGGUGGGGUAAAGGCCUACCAAGGCGACGAUCAGUAGCCGGCCUGAGAGGGUGAACGGCCACACUGGGACUGAGACACGGCCCAGACUCCUACGGGAGGCAGCAGUGGGGAAUCUUCCGCAAUGGACGAAAGUCUGACGGAGCAACGCCGCGUGUAUGAUGAAGGUCUUCGGAUUGUAAAGUACUGUCUUUGGGGAAGAACAGUGUGCUUGAGAAUAUUGGGCACAAAUGACGGUACCCAAGGAGGAAGCCCCGGCUAACUACGUGCCAGCAGCCGCGGUAAUACGUAGGGGGCGAGCGUUGUCCGGAAUUACUGGGCGUAAAGGGCGCGUAGGCGG
rnacentral:rRNA from 1 species